rnacentral:rRNA from 1 species
GUAGUUAGCCGGGGCUUCCUCACAGGGUACCGUCUCUUUCUCGUCCCCUGCGACAGAGGUUUACAAUCCGAAAACCUUCUUCCCUCACGCGGCGUUGCUGGGUCAGGCUUUCGCCCAUUGCCCAAUAUUCCCCACUGCUGCCUCCCGUAGGAGUCUGGACCGUUUCUCAGUUCCAGUGUGGCCGGUCAUCCUCUCAGAUCGGCUACCCAUCGUCGACUUGGUGGGCCGUUACCUCACCAACUAUCUAAUGGGACGCGAACUCACCUGUGCACGGAUUGCUCCUUUCACCCCAAGGCCAUGUGACCUCGUGGUCCUACGCGGUAUUAGCGAAUGUUUCCAUUCGUUAUCCCCCUCGCACAGACAGAUUGUUCACGCGUUACGCACCCGUCCGCCACUAGGAAUACCUCGUAUUGCUACUCGAUAUCCCCCGUUCGACUUGCAUGUGUUAAGCACGCCGCCACGCGUCGUCCUCGAGCACANANACAACUACUACGACGUAGAGGCGGCGUCGGACGACGGACGC